AUUGAACGCUGGCGGCAGGCCUAACACAUGCAAGUCGAAUGGUAACAGGAAACAGCUUGCUGUUUCGCUGACGAGUGGCGGACGGGUGAGUAAUGUCUGGGAAACUGCCUGAUGGAGGGGGAUAACUACUGGAAACGGUAGCUAAUACCGCAUAACGUCGCAAGACCAAAGAGGGGGACCUUCGGGCCUCUUGCCAUCAGAUGUGCCCAGAUGGGAUUAGCUAGUAGGUGGGGUAACGGCUCACCUAGGCGACGAUCCCUAGCUGGUCUGAGAGGAUGACCAGCCACACUGGAACUGAGACACGGUCCAGACUCCUACGGGAGGCAGCAGUGGGGAAUAUUACACAAUGGGCGCAAGCCUGAUGCAGCCAUGCCGCGUGUAUGAAGAAGGCCUUCGGGUUGUAAAGUACUUUCAGCGGGGAGGAAGGGAGUAAAGUUAAUACCUUUGCUCAUUGACGUUACCCGCAGAAGAAGCACCGGCUAACUCCGUG
rnacentral:rRNA from 1 species